GACGAACGCUGGCGGCGUGCUUAACACAUGCAAGUCGAACGGAAAGGCCCUUCUUUUGUGGGGUGCUCGAGUGGCGAACGGGUGAGUAACACGUGAGUAACCUGCCCUUUACUUUGGGAUAACUUCAGGAAACUGGGGCUAAUACCGGAUAGGAGCUCCUGCUGCAUGGUGGGGGUUGGAAAGUUUCGGCGGUUGGGGAUGGACUCGCGGCUUAUCAGCUUGUUGGUGGGGUAGUGGCUUACCAAGGCUUUGACGGGUAGCCGGCCUGAGAGGGUGACCGGCCACAUUGGGACUGAGAUACGGCCCAGACUCCUACGGGAGGCAGCAGUGGGGAAUAUUGCACAAUGGGCGGAAGCCUGAUGCAGCAACGCCGCGUGCGGGAUGACGGCCUUCGGGUUGUAAACCGCUUUCGCCUGUGACGAAGCGUGAGUGACGGUAAUGGGUAAAGAAGCACCGGCUAACUACGUG
rnacentral:rRNA from 1 species